rnacentral:rRNA from 1 species
GGGCGCAGCCUGAUGCAGCCAUGCCGCGUGUGUGAAGAAGGCCUUCGGAUUGUAAAGCACUUUCAGUGGGGAGGAAGGCGAUAAGGUUAAUACCUUUGUGUAUUGACGUUACCCACAGAAUAAGCACCGGCUAACUCCGUGCCAGCAGCCGCGGUAAUACGA